UCUCUCUCUCUCUCUCUCUCUCUCUCUCUCUCUCUCUCUCUCUGUCAAAUGUGCAGGUAUGGCAAUCCAUGGAAGUAAUGUUUGGCAGAGCAAAGGACUGACUUGUGUUCCUUGUUGAUAACAAACAAACAUGAGCAGGCAGGGUGUAGUAAUGUUUUGAUGCUACACUGAUGCAUUGACAAAUAAUAAUCAUAAAUGGUUUAUUAAUAAUCCAGUUAGGACUAAAUUUAUAUUGUACUGAAUAAAAAAUAAAAUGUGAUAAAUAUACGCUUAAAAUUAGGAUCUUAUUAACUAAGGUGGUAUUACAGGAGGAGGAGAAAGUUUUGUAUUGCUGUACAGGAGGAGGAAGAGAUUUUGUGUUGCUGGCAAGAGGAAGAGAUUUUGUGUUGCUGGGAAGGGGAAGAAGAAAUUUUGGGCAGUGAUGGAGAAUGUGGGUCCCUCCUGGCUGGGUCCUGCACCCUGGUGGUAUGAGUUGCCAGUGCUGCAUCUCUGCUUCAGUACUGCCAUGCCAGGGUCGUGCGCUGGUGCUGCUGGAAGUUAUUAGGGUUUUGAGGAGUUAUCUUGCUGUCCAGCCAGCCACUCCCGUACGUUAAGAGCUCAUGGUUCAUGGUGACUGAUCUCUGGGUAGGACUGAGGCUCAUGUGCCACACACCGUUACAGCCAGGCCACAACCCUCAUCUCUCAUCCCGUAUCUACAAUACUUGCUGCUGGCAUUCAAGAGCAAGGGAGUGAGGAGAAAAGCUUAGGUCCAGUCUGCUGUCUGUGCAUCAAGCCUGAGCUGGUCUGCUCCCACGAUGCAGUGUGUGGCAGUGUUAGCAGACACGGCUCUUGUCUGCACCUCAUCCUCUUAAAGAUAUGAGGUGGUAUGAGCACUGGGAUAAGAUGAAGAGCGUACGCAGCAAGUUUGUGGAUGUUUUGCGGCUGCACGUGCGGGGUGGAGCGGGGGGCAUGGGUCUGCUGUGCCUCAGGGGAGUGGGUGGCGCAGGGGGUGACGUGUAUGUGGAGGGGAAGGAAGGUGAGGCACGGAGACACUGUGUCUGUUGUGAUGGGAAGUGACAUAGAGAGACUAUGUUUGUUAUGACAGGAAGUGAGGCAUGGCAUUUAAACACUGUUAUGACAGGGAAUGAGGCUUGCAAACUUCCUUCUCACCCUGCUCUCCCUCUCACAGACCACUUCUCACCCUGCUCUCCCUCUCACAGACCACUUCUCACCCUGCUCUCCCUCUCACAGACCACUUCUCACCCUGCUCUCUCUCACAGACCACUUCUCACCCUGCUCUCCCUCUCACAGACCACUUCUCA